UGGCCUUGGAGGUGGGGGAGAAGUUUGGUUCAGGUCACAUUUUAAGAAGGACCUUCUCAAUUUUAAUUUCCCCAAUCAAUAUGUGAACUAAUACACAGGCAUUCUUGUAAAUUUAUACUUCUCUGAGUUUCGCAGUGUAGAUUUUUCAGCUGAGUAAGUUCUACAAAAAACAUAUAUACUAAGGGAGUUGCUUGCAAAAAUGUGUAUAUUGUGAGAAAUGCCCAUUAAAAUGCUGGUGAAUUUUCAUGAGACUUUUGUAAAUAAAAAACAUCACAAACUGAUGUGGAAAUGUAGAAAUUAAAAUUUAAGAUUGUCUGCCUAUAGAAUUGCAAGGCCAAGGUACUUUAAGAGCCCUCUGUGGUCUCUCUCUCUCUCUCUCUGUUAUACCUCUUCUCAAUCCAAAGUUUAAAGUUCUGUGCUUGGGUCAUGCCAGAUAGGAAAAUGUGGGCAAUUUUCACAGUAAAACCUCUUGGGACAUAUCCUUAAAAGUCUCAUUUCAGGUGCACAUUAAUCUCUCUGCCUUUAUUUGAAGUAUCAUUCAUUCUGUGCUGCAGAGCACAAUUAUGCUCAAGUGUCUUUCUAACUGCUUCCCAGAUGGAAAGUUCAGAUUCAUCCUGUACCGGGAAUGUUAAUGAAACAACAUGACAAACAUUUCCUGGAAUACGACAUCAAUGAAACGAGCUGAAACAAAGCAUUCAGGCUGAAAUCUUCCUUGGCGUUUCUUAUGCUUCCAUUCAGAACAGGGCAACCGAAAUUAUCAAGGAGGUGAGCAAGCUCCAUAGGAGGACAGGAUGCAACCAUCAGGG
rnacentral:lncRNA from 1 species